GAUGAACGCUGGCGGCGUGCCUAAUACAUGCAAGUCGAGCGAACAGACGAGGAGCUUGCUCCUCUGACGUUAGCGGCGGACGGGUGAGUAACACGUGGAUAACCUACCUAUAAGACUGGGAUAACUUCGGGAAACCGGAGCUAAUACCAGAUAAUAUAUUGAACCGCAUGGUUCAAUAGUGAAAGACGGUUUUGCUGUCACUUAUAGAUGGAUCCGCGCCGCAUUAGCUAGUUGGUAAGGUAACGGCUUACCAAGGCGACGAUGCGUAGCCGACCUGAGAGGGUGAUCGGCCACACUGGAACUGAGACACGGUCCAGACUCCUACGGGAGGCAGCAGUAGGGAAUCUUCCGCAAUGGGCGAAAGCCUGACGGAGCAACGCCGCGUGAGUGAUGAAGGUCUUCGGAUCGUAAAACUCUGUUAUUAGGGAAGAACAAAUGUGUAAGUAACUAUGCACGUCUUGACGGUACCUAAUCAGAAAGCCACGGCUAACUACGUG
rnacentral:rRNA from 1 species